rnacentral:rRNA from 1 species
GAUGAACGCUGGCGGCGUGCCUAAUACAUGCAAGUCGAGCGAACAGACGAUGAGCUUUCUCCCCUGACGUUAGCGGCUGACGGGUGAGUAACACGUGGAUAAGCUUCUACUUUUACUUGGAUAAUUUCGUGAAACCGCUUCUAAUACUAGAGCAUAUGUCCUACCGCUUGAUGCAAUAGUUCUUCACACUUUGCCUGUUUCUUUUAGCUGGUUCCGCGCCGCAUUAGCUAGUUGGUAAGGUAACGGCUUACCAACGCGACGAUGCGUAGCUGACCUGAGAGGGUGAUCAGCCACACUGGAACUGAGACACGGUCCAGACUCCUACGGGAGGCAGCAGUAGGGAAUAUUGGGCAAUGGGCGCAAGCCUGAUGGAGCCAUGCCGCGUGAGUGAAGAAGGUCUUCGGAUUGUAAAGCUCUGUUAUUAGGGAAGAAAAACAGUAUAAGAAAAUCUGGCCGUCUUGACGGUACCCAAAGAAUAAGCACCGGCUAACUACGUG